UGCAGUAACUCAGCUGACAGUAUCACAAACUCUUACCAAUUUCGUAUAGUAAACCUGCAACACAGACACUUUGGUGUGUGUAAUUCUUUGCUUGUCCUACUUUGACAGGUGCCAGAAUUGCAGCCUGUUGUCAGAGACUUCAUCAUGAACAGGACCUUCAAGAUCGUUGGUCCACAACUGGAAAAUUUCAACACAGAGGACUUUUACAUUUGGUUCCAUAUCAAACUGGUAUAUGUCCUUGCAAGUUUCACUCCAGAGAUGCUCCAGCUUACAGUCCAAACAACCAACUGUACAAACUACCACGUAGUUGUGAGUGGCAUGGCCAUGGUGUACUCUUCCAUACCCAAGGAUAGAGUACAAGGACUUGCAAAUGUUCUCCUGGGCUACCUAAAAAAUCUUGCCGGUGAAAUCAACACACCAGGUAAGGGGACAUACCACAAGUUCUGUUGUAUAUAAAUUAUAUACAAUUUAAGCGCUUCAUAAUUUUUUUUUUUUUUUUUUUUUUUUGUUUUGUUUGCAAUUCCUGUAACAUUUUUUUUCAGCUUGUAAACAGGGAAUUCAUAGUGAUGCUCAGUUCAUCGAAACAAACUUGGGUCCCUUUUCAGUCUUUGCAACUUUUUCAGACCUUCAACCCUUUAACCUUUCUCAGGUAUGCUCUCCUUACAUUCAAAGUUUUUGUUUUUACUAUAAUACUAUGUCUUAAAAAAAACUUAUUCAAAUCCAUCCUCGGUAUUGUCUUAUUUUUUUUUUUUCUUUUUUAGGUCUCCAUUGUAGACUCUCUUUCCCCAGCACAGAAAGCUGCUUUUCUUCUUCAGUCAGAGAAUUUGUCCAAUGAAACACUUGUAAUACUUGUAUUCACAAAAUUUACCAACUCAUCUUUAAAUGACCUUGAAUCUUUCUUUGAGAUAUUUGUUAAUAGCUCAGCUGAGGUAUUUUGUCUCUUUUAUAGUAAUUUUUUUUUGCUAAAAUAAUGUGACGCUAACAGCUUCCUGUAUUUUUUUCUCAGCAGACUCUUAAAACUCUUACUCCAGCAGUCCGUGACUCCAUUUUAAAUCUAACGCUGACAGCUUUAGGCCCACAACUAUCUGUCCUAAAUGUCAAGGGCUUCGAGUUGUGGUUCCAGGUUUAUUUAACACCUUUCCUGCCAGGAGUUAAUAAUAGUACUUUGGAAAUUAUUCCAAAAAACAUCGCAUGUAACUCUUACCAACAGAUGUGAGUUUUAAUUUGUUUUUUUCCUCUUAAAAUAGAAUGGUUAAAAUACUAAAGUAUAUAUUUUUUUAUUUUUUUUAAACAAUUGUCUUUCUCCUCUUUUAGUAUCAAAGGCUUUGGAAGUGUCUUGCCUCAGCUUUCUUUGGGUCAAAGUCAAGAAGUUCUCAAGUUUGCGUUAGACUAUCUUGGAGGACAGGAUUUGUCGGGUAAAAUUCACUUUGCUUGCACAAAUCUCAGUUUGUAUUUAGGAUAAUGCACUGAGUCUUAAUAUAAUUAACUUAAUUAAUUAACUUAAAUUUUAGGUCUAUCAUGUGUCCAGUCUGGAAUGGAUGACAGACUGUGGCUGGAGGAUAACUUUGGACAAUUCCUAUCUGAAGCCUCCUUCCACAACUUUUUGUCCUUGAAAAACAACUUCAGAGGAGUGAGUGAAUCCUUCGAAUAAAUUACAUAUGCACACAAACAUAUGACCUAAUAGCUAAAUUUAAGCCACAUAUUAAAGAAUAAAAGCUUGUUUUU
ensembl:lncRNA